CUGAACUAAUUCGGUCACAAGAGCUCAAAACGUAUAAUUAUUAUACUGAAAGGCAACACAUUACAAAGUACAACAUUAAACCAGGCCGAACAAUACCUGUAUUAAAAUAGGUAGACUUAAGCCCCGACGUAAAUCCUAUUGAGAAGCGAAUAGCCCGCUCUACCGUAUUUUUCAGCAAGUAAAACUACACACCAAACUAAUUCUUUGCAUCACAUGUGCACAUAAGUGUGUACAUUUGUUUUUGAAAACAUAAAAUUUGACCAAGACAUGACGCAUGCUGUGACUGUAAAUGUGCACGCUUAAUUGCGAAAAGAAUCAGAAAGAGAUUAAAUACAACUUACAGGGUCAACGAAAUCCAUAUUCAAAUUAUAACAUAGCUUCUGAAUUCGUGAGGUAAUUUUAUCAAAAUGUACUUCUUCCUGUCUUCCAUCUAAAAACAAAAGUUAAUAUAACAGUUUUGUGCAUUUUUUUUGUUCGCAUACCUCGUUUGACAACAAACAAUUUGGACGUUUUAAAAGUUUUAUUUUUCAACAUUUUUCCCGGUUAUUUCACAAUUGUUUGUUACAACAAAGUAUCGAAAAAA